AGCUUUGCGCAGUGGCAGUAUCGUAGCCAAUGAGGUUUAUCCGAGGCGUGAUUAUUGCUAAUAGAAAUUAAUUUCUUCAUAUGUAAAAUUAGGUGUUAAAGCUAUCUUUUUAAAACAGUAUGUGGGAUUGUAUUUUUUUA